UUCCUCAUGUUUUCUUGCCUUGGUUUAUUCCAGGUGCUCUACUUUCAUCCCACAAUCCAAAUGUGUAGAGUAUUUUAGUUUAACUGUUGAUUCAACAUCAGCUGUUUCUGUGUGUAACAUGCAGGUUUUUGUGUUUGUGCUGGCUCUGUGGUAGACCGGUGACCUUUUGAGGGGGGGGUGCCCCAUCUCUUGCUGACUCCUUGAACUGGUCAAAGUGAGAACAGACUAUGCAUGCUUGGACGUAAAUGCUAUUUAAAGGAAAUUUGUGGGUUAUUUUUAGUCAUAACAUGCUCCCCACGUCAGAUGGUGUGGAUGUAACCAAUCUCAGCAAGAACCAGGUGAGCUCUAAUGAGAUUUCACUUGGAGUAGUGUCCAAACAGCGGAUGAACGGUGCUUAAUCCAGUUAACAAGAAGGUUAGUGGCCUAAUAUUGGAGACAGUAGCAAGGAGGGGCUCACUGAGUUCAAUACAGCUCUGAGUUACACUCCUCCUUUUCCCUUACCGACCGUCCUUCAUUUUCCCUCAGCCCCUCAGAACUCCCGUUCUUUCAAGUCUCCCCCAACCUAAAGUGUGUCUCAUUUUAGAACUGACUCUCUGUAAGCCAAGAGCCGCUGUCACCAGAUCCCCUGGUCCUGCAGAUUUCUCGGUAUGGCAUGUGUUCCCAACCGGCCGCCCAACACACACCCAACCACUCAACUACAAACCAGGCGUUUUCCUGAGGGCCACGGCGGGACGGUAUAUAUGUCGCAGCCUGCAGGUUAUAAAUCGAAAACUUGGAUGCACAACAAAGCGCUUUCGGAGGUGAUUGUAGUUGACAGGUGGGCGGAGCACACACCUGCGGCUCAUUCAGCAGUUCCGUGCUGGAGCAUAAGAGCAGCGCUCUGACAGCUGGAGGACGCCAAAGUGUUAACCUUGUGUGGUUGCCGCAGGCUCUGGAUCCCUCUCCAAGCAUCCUCUCGUGUUCUAACAUCCCAUGUUAAGUGUUCGGCUCUCACGGUCCUGGAUUCCUCUCCAGGAUUCCCUCGAGCUCUCUUGGUGUUACCAAGCCAGGCUGAGAACUCCACCAGAUCUCCCUGCUCCCUCCAUCAGUGCUGCUCGGACCCCGCCUUAACUCCAUCUGCCCGCUCACCAGUUGCUCAGUCACCUGGUUCUGUCACAGAGGAGAGAUCAGCCAAAUCUGUCUCUCAGCUCCACUCGCCCCGGCUAGGUCUCACGAACUUGGCGAGUAUCGGUCCCUGUCUCAUGUCUCUGUCAGGCACUCGCAAGACGAGGCUACUCAAGUCCCUGCUUCUCCGUUUACCAAAUAAACAUCUUGAAACUGC